rnacentral:misc_RNA from 1 species
UUAUUUAUUAUAGAAAUCGACACACAAAACACAUUCGAGCAUAAACGCGGCGAUCCCAAUCCGGAGAGAGGGACUCGCCGAAGCAAGUUGUAAGGUUCACAAAGGUUUGAAGGUUGAAGGCCAAAAUAGGCCAUUCGUUAAUGAUCCCUCCGCAGGUUCACCUACGGAGA